GACAGUUCGGGAGCGGCCAGCUGGACAGGAAAACAAGGGGAUGCCAACCGGAGGCGUAGAAGUCCUUGCGGAGGACGUGGAAGUUUUCAAUGUGUGUCAGAAGUUGCCGUUUGAGAUUAAGGACUUUGUUAAAAAAUCAGAAUCGUUACGCAUGCAGUUUCGCUACCUGGACCUGAGGUCUUCUAGCUUGCAGAAGAACCUCCGACUGAGGUCUCAACU